rnacentral:rRNA from 1 species
GACGAACGCUGGCGGCGUGCUUAACACAUGCAGGUCGAACGGAAAGGCCCUUCGGGGUACUCGAGUGGCGAACGGGUGAGUAACACGUGGGUGAUCUGCCCUGCACUUUGGGAUAAGCCUGGGAAACUGGGUCUAAUACCGAAUAGGACCACGCGCUUCAUGGUGUGUGGUGGAAAGCUUUUGCGGUGUGGGAUGGGCCCGCGGCCUAUCAGCUUGUUGGUGGGGUAAUGGCCUACCAAGGCGACGACGGGUAGCCGGCCUGAGAGGGUGACCGGCCACACUGGGACUGAGAUACGGCCCAGACUCCUACGGGAGGCAGCAGUGGGGAAUAUUGCACAAUGGGCGCAAGCCUGAUGCAGCGACGCCGCGUGAGGGAUGACGGCCUUCGGGUUGUAAACCUCUUUCAAUAGGGACGAAGCGCAAGUGACGGUACCUAUAGAAGAAGCACCGGCCAACUACGUG